AGAGUUUGAUCCUGGCUCAGAACGAACGCUGGCGGCAGGCUUAACACAUGCAAGUCGAGCGGGCCCGCAAGGGUCAGCGGCGGACGGGUUAGUAACGCGUGGGAACGUGCCUUUUGCUUCGGAAUAGCCCUGGGAAACUGGGGGUAAUACCGGAUGUGCCCUGAGGGGGAAAGAUUUAUCGGCAAGAGAUCGGCCCGCGUUGGAUUAGGUAGUUGGUGGGGUAAUGGCCCACCAAGGCGACGAUCAGUAGCUGGUCUGAGAGGAUGAUCAGCCACAUUGGGACUGAGACACGGCCCAAACUCCUACGGGAGGCAGCAGUGGGGAAUAUUGGACAAUGGGCGCAAGCCUGAUCCAGCCAUGCCGCGUGAGUGAUGAAGGCCUUAGGGUUGUAAAGCUCUUUCGGCGGGGACGAUAAUGACGGUACCCGCAGAAGAAGCCCCGGCUAACUUCGUGCCAGCAGCCGCGGUAAUACGAAGGGGGCUAGCGUUGUUCGGAAUCACUGGGCGUAAAGGGCGCGUAGGCGGCUUGAUAAGUCGGGGGUGAAAGCCUGUGGCUCAACCACAGAAUUGCCUUCGAUACUGUCUGGCUUGAGACCGGAAGAGGUAAGUGGAACUGCGAGUGUAGAGGUGAAAUUCGUAGAUAUUCGCAAGAACACCAGUGGCGAAGGCGGCUUACUGGUCCGGUUCUGACGCUGAGGCGCGAAAGCGUGGGGAGCAAACAGGAUUAGAUACCCUAGUAGUCC
rnacentral:rRNA from 1 species